GGGAGUUGAAGCCUGAUGACAUCCAGGGGGCCAGAAGGUUUCCCCAUUCCUUGUUGUUGUUUAGUCGUUUAGUUGUGUCCGUCUCUUCAUGACCCCAUGGACCAGAGCAUGCCAGGCACUCCUGUCUUCCACCGCCUCAAACUAAUGCUGGUAGCUUUGGUCAAACUAAUGCUGGUAGCUUCGAGAACACUGUCCAACCAUCUUGUCCUCUGCCGUCCCCUUCUCCUGGUGCCCUCAAUCUUUCCCAACAUCAGGGUCUCUUUGAGGGAGUCUUCUCUUCUCAUGAGGUGGCCAAAGUAUUGGAGCCUCAGCUUCACGAUCUGUCCUUCCAGUGAGCACUCAGGGCUGAUUUCCUUAAGAAUGGAUAGGUUUGAUCUUCUUGCAGUCCAUGGGACUCUCAUGAGUCUCAUUCCUUAUUAUAGCAUAAUUGUCCAUGUUGCAUUGGUAAUGAAAAUCAAGCAGCAGGCCCCUACACCACAAUAUCCACAGGGCUGGAUAACCCAUGGUCCUUGACCUAAUUUCAUGCAGGUGAGUGUGGAGAGAAGGAAGGUAGAUGGAAGGAGGUGGGCCAGCUGUUCUCUCCAUCCCACCUCAGCAGUCAGCAGAGCAGGAGAAGAAGAGAGCA